rnacentral:rRNA from 1 species
UACGAAGGGGGCUAGCGUUGCUCGGAAUCACUGGGCGUAAAGGGCGCGUAGGCGGCUUUUUAAGUCGGGGGUGAAAGCCUGUGGCUCAACCACAGAAUUGCCUUCGAUACUGGAAGCUUGAGACCGGAAGAGGACAGCGGAACUGCGAGUGUAGAGGUGAAAUUCGUAGAUAUUCGCAAGAACACCAGUGGCGAAGGCGGCUGUCUGGUCCGGUUCUGACGCUGAGGCGCGAAAGCGUGGGGAGCAAACAGG